rnacentral:rRNA from 1 species
UACGUAGGGUGCGAGCGUUGUCCGGAAUUAUUGGGCGUAAAGAGCUUGUAGGUGGUUUGUCGCGUCUGCUGUGAAAAUCCGAGGCUCAACCUCGGACUUGCAGUGGGUACGGGCAGACUAGAGUGUGGUAGGGGAGACUGGAAUUCCUGGUGUAGCGGUGGGAAUGCGCAGAUAUCAGGAGGAACACCGGUGGCGAAGGCGGCGACCUGGGUAGAUACUG